CAGCCGCCGCGGUAAUACCGGCGGCCCGAGUGGUGGCCGCUAUUAUUGGGCCUAAAGCGUCCGUAGCCGGGCCCGUAAGUCCCUGGCGAAAUCCCACGGCUCAACCGUGGGGCUUGCUGGGGAUACUGCGGGCCUUGGGACCGGGAGAGGCCGAGGGUAUUCCCGGAGUAGGGGUGAAAUCCUAUAAUCCCGGGAGGACCACCUGUGGCGAAGGCGCUCGGCUGGAACGCGUCCGACGGUGAGGGACGAAGGCCAGGGGAGCAAACCGGAUUAGAUACCCGGGUAGUCCUGGCUGUAAACGAUGCGGACUUUGUGUCGGACAAGCUAUGAGCUUGUCCGGUGCCGGAGGGAAACCGUUAAGUCCGCCGCCUGGGGAGUACGGCCGCAAGGCUGAAACUUAAAGGAAUUGGCGGG
rnacentral:rRNA from 1 species